AGGGCGAGUUUUAAUGGUCCGUUUUGUGCAAGUGGUCCAAUCAGAAUCGUCGAAGCACAUUUAAGCUUGUUUAAAUGUAAGUUUAGAAAUAAGAUAUCGCAAACUUGGGACAAAACAAACGAGAAUGCGUACUUCUCGCUAAUAAAGGCACGUGCCUUAAAGGAGCCGUUUUAAAGGACGACAAACGUUGGCUCUGAUAGCACCGCUUGCCUGUCAGUGGCCAAAUGCGGUAUUGCAGGCGAAAUGUCGCCAUGGAGCCUCUCAGAAAUGGGAAGGCCAAGCUGUCGAUUUGCAGAUCUUAUCAUUGCUUCGGAAAUCAUCAUCCUUAGAAGACGGAGAAGACGCGUCUCUCUCCUCGCCCGAACAAACUCAAAGUCAACUCCCCAACACCGCCCCUCAGCUCAUCAGCUCACACCCUGUCCAGUCAUGAUAAAACAACAGUCAAAAGCACAUGGAUAUUACAGCCAGCUGUUUUGGAUCUCUACUCUCCAGGGUUGUAUAUCUCCAGGACUGGGUCCUGCAAUAAACCAAACAGUGCCUGUAUGUACUAUGUGUGUAAACUUUAGUAGUUUUAAUUAAAUCAUAGCUUCAUUAAUAGCUUUUUUGAUUGUCUGAAAAUGAUUCACAGUUGGCUAGUGUCCUGACUGGACUCGACUCUAAUAUGACAAACAUGAUAUAAAUCAAUUGGUGCUCUCUAAGAUUAAGUCUUUAUAUUACUACAGUCUAUUUUUAUAGAGCAAGGCCUAUUGAUUCAGUCUUCCUCAAGGAAACCUUGUUCUUACGCACCUUAGAGCAGGGGUCACCAACAUGGUCUGUCAAUUUGUCGUUCCUUUUGGUUUAUGUGUGUAUAAAAACAUGACAUGUCAAAAUGAAAGAAGCACAGAGCAAGAACACCAAUCAGGGCCCAGCACACACUUUG
ensembl:lncRNA